UUGGGGCGUAAAGGGCCCGCAGGUGGCGAAUAAAGUCUGCUGUUAAAGACCGGGGCUUAACUCCGGAAAGGCAGUGGAAACUGAUUAGCUAGAGUACGGUAGGGGUAGAGGGAAUUCCCAGUGUAGCGGUGAAAUGCGUAGAUAUUGGGAAGAACACCGGUGGCGAAAGCGCUCUACUAGGCCGAAACUGACACUGAGGGACGAAAGCUAGGGUAGCGAAAGGGAUUAGAUACCCCUGUAGUCUUAGCGGUAAACGAUGGAUACUAGGUGUAGCUUGUAUCGACCCGAGCUGUGCCGAAGCUAACGCGAUAAGUAUCCCGCCUGGGGAGUACGCACGCAAGUGUGAAACUCAAAGGAAUUGACGGGGGCCCGCACAAGCGGUGGAGUAUGUGGUUUAAUUCGAUGCAACGCGAAGAACCUUACCAGGGCUUGACAUGUCGCGAAUCUAGCGGAAACGUUAGAGUGCCUUAGGGAAUGCGAACACAGGUGGUGCAUGGCUGUCGUCAGCUCGUGUCGUGAGAUGUUGGGUUAAGUCCCGCAACGAGCGCAACCCUCGUCCUUAGUUGCCAAUAUUAAGUUAGGCACUCUAGGGAGACUGCCGGGGACAACCCGGAGGAAGGUGGGGAUGACGUCAAGUCAGCAUGCCCCUUACGUCCUGGGCUACACACGUACUACAAUGGUUGGGACAAAGGGCAGCAAGCUCGCGAGAGUAAGCGAAUCUCAUCAAACCCAGCCACAGUUCAGAUUGCAGGCUGCAACUCGCCUGCAUGAAGUAGGAAUCGCUAGUAAUCGCAGGUCAGCAUACUGCGGUGAAUUCGUCCCCGGGCCUUGUACACACCGCCCGUCACACCAUGGAAGCUGGCUACGCCCGAAGUCGUUACCCUAACCCGGUUUUGGGAGGGGGAUGCCGAAGGUAGAGCUAGUGACUGGGGUGAAGUCGUAACAAGGUAGCCGUACCGGAAGGUGUGGCUGGAUCACCUCCUUUACAGGGAGACCUAGUCUAAUUACCGAUAGAUGAAAAAGUUGGUAAUUCGCCAGAAUCCUUAGGUCGUGAAGGGAGCAAGAGAAAACUUUCAAACUGUAAUGGGUGAGGGUCAAUGGGCUAUUAGCUCAGGUGGUUAGAGCGCACCCCUGAUAAGGGUGAGGUCCCUGGUUCAAGUCCAGGAUGGCCCACCUGAAAUACACAGGCAUCCUGCCUGUGCCACAAAAAAAGGAAAAAAUUUUAGCAUUGUCUCUUGUAAGCAAGAGCAAGAGAUAAUGCUGGAAUCUAUUCCAGCAAGAACCUUGAAAACUGCAUAGAACUAGAAAGAAAAAGUCAGGUAGAAAAUCCUACAGGCUAGAGCUAGAAAGAGCAAAAGGU
rnacentral:misc_RNA from 1 species